rnacentral:tRNA from 1 species
GGGGUUGUGGCUCAGUGGUAUAGCACUUGCCUAGUAUGCAUAAGACUUUGGGUUUGAUCCCCAGCACCA